rnacentral:miRNA from 1 species
AUUGGCACUCUUUUUCUUUUUG